AGUGAACGCUGGCGGUAGGCCUAACACAUGCAAGUCGAACGGCAGCACAGUAAGAGCUUGCUCUUACGGGUGGCGAGUGGCGGACGGGUGAGGAAUACAUCGGAAUCUACUUUUUCGUGGGGGAUAACGUAGGGAAACUUACGCUAAUACCGCAUACGACCUACGGGUGAAAGCAGGGGAUCUUCGGACCUUGCGCGAUUGAAUGAGCCGAUGUCGGAUUAGCUAGUUCGCGGGGUAAAGGCCCACCAAGGCGACGAUCCGUAGCUGGUCUGAGAGGAUGAUCAGCCACACUGGAACUGAGACACGGUCCAGACUCCUACGGGAGGCAGCAGUGGGGAAUAUUGGACAAAGGGCGCAAGCCUGAUCCAGCCAUACCGCGUGGGUGAAGAAGGCCUUCGGGUUGUAAAGCCCUUUUGUUGGGAAAGAAAAGCAGCAGGUUAAUACCCCGCUGUUCUGACGGUACCCAAAGAAUAAGCACCGGCUAACUUCGUG
rnacentral:rRNA from 1 species